rnacentral:rRNA from 1 species
UACGGGGGGGGGCAAGCGUUGUUCGGAAUUACUGGGCGUAAAGGGCUCGUAGGCGGCCAACUAAGUCAGACGUGAAAUCCCUCGGCUUAACCGGGGAACUGCAUCUGAUACUGGAUGGCUUGAGUUCGGGAGAGGGAUGCGGAAUUCCAGGUGUAGCGGUGAAAUGCGUAGAUAUCAGGAGAACACCGGUGGUGCAGACGGCUCUCUGGACCGUAACUGACGCUGAGACGCGAAAGCGUGGGGAGCAAACAGG